GACGAACGCUGGCGGCGUGCCUAAUACAUGCAAGUAGAACGAGUGGCGGACGGGUGAGUAAUGUCUGGGAACCUGCCCGAUGGAGGGGGAUAACUACUGGAAACGGUAGCUAAUACCGCAUACCAUCGGAUGUGCCCAGAUGGGAUUAGCUAGUAGGUGGGGUAACGGCUCACCUAGGCGACGAUCCCUAGCUGGUCUGAGAGGAUGACCAGCCAACCGGGAACUGAGACAGGGCCCAGACUCCUACGGGAGGCAGCAGUGGGGAAUAUUGGAAAAGGGGGGCAAGCCUGAUGCAGCCAGGCCGCGUGUAUGAAGAAGGUUUUCGGGUUGUAAAGUACUUUCAGCGAGGAGGCGUUACUCGCAGAAGAAGCACCGGCUAACUCCGUGCCAGCAGCCGCGGUAAUU
rnacentral:rRNA from 1 species